AUGCUGCUGCCACAGGGGCACGGGCUUCACCCUGGCAACGGCGUGCUACGAUUCUUCAAUCUCUCGACAGGGAUCUUCGUCCGCGCCCGGCUCCCGCUUCUCACGGAUCAUCACGUCCUCGACUCGCCCGAUGGAGUCCUCCUCCUGCAACACAAUCUCGACGACGACGCCCCAAUUCGCGUCCUCAAUCCUCUCACCGGCGACACCGCGGAGCUCCCCGCGCGCACGCCUUCCGUGGAAAUCUAUUUUGAUUCGCUCAUCAAUGAUCAAGAGCAUGCCGCCUCCUUGAGCGUCGGUGCAGACGGAGUCGCCAUGGCCGCCGUCGCACUAUUCAGUCUGUCGACUAUAAUACUUGCUACCACGAGAGAUCGGCGUUGGAGGGUCGCAACAUGGAACCCGCGAUAUAUGGGAGUGCCAUCAGUAUCAUUCCAAGGAAAGAUAUACGCCUUGCGAAGUUCCGCGGAGGUGGGUACAUAUAAGAGGACAGUGCAAAUUUUCCAGAUCGAGCCACAGCUGAUGCGGAUAGGUCCAUCCUACCCAAAGUUGAUUGCAUCAUGUACAAUUGGUGGAAUCGACGACUCUUUUGAUCUGGUAGAAUGUGACUCGGAAAUCCUGUUGAUCCAUACAAAAUACAGUGCGACGUCUCCUGAAUUUCUAGUAUACAAAUUAGCCGACCUUAUUCUGGGUAAGCUUGUCCCGGUGACAAGCAUAGGGGGCAAUGUUCUCUUUGUUGAUGUCGCGAGGAGACAGAGUGUGAGUUCCCGAGCUAUGCUUGGCAAUGGCAUUACAGGUGACGCCGUUGUCUAUCUUGUGCCCUCGUAUGGCCGUCCUCAACAGUACCAGAUCGGUAGUGGUACAUGGUCGGAUGUAGCAGGGGAUGUCUCAGAUGGUGGGACUGUGUCGAGGACUUAUAGCCUCGUUGACCAUAUGUACAACUGUUGCGAUUGUGCCCGUUCAAGCAGAUGA
rnacentral:rRNA from 1 species